AUUCACUCGACAAAAUCACUCUUCGACCACUUCCAUGGUUCCAUUAAUCCCAUUCCCACUUACCAUUGAAAAUGUUAACAUCAAAUUGAAGCAAUUUUUCCUUAGAUGAUGCACAACAUCACAUUCUUUACCAUUACAACCAAAAGCAAAAGCGUAAGUAGAAACCAUCAAGGAAAAGACAUUUAAAAAGACCACCAGCAAUAAACAACGUAAAAAAGAUCUUAAAAAAGGGAUGAAAGGAAAGAAAAGAGGAGAAAAGGGUGACUAAUAUUCAAAUGCUUCAUUUUCCCACUCUUUUCAUCUCAUGGCAUACAUGUAUAUUUACUAAAUUUGGAGGGGGAAAAAAUGAAAUUUCUAUUUAUUUACAAGCAUUAGAAG
rnacentral:misc_RNA from 1 species